rnacentral:rRNA from 1 species
CAGUAGCCGCGGGAAUACGUAGGUGGCAAGCGUUGUCCGGAAUUAUUGGGCGUAAAGAGCUCGCAGGCAGUUUCUUAAGUCUGAUGUGAAAGCCCCCGGCUCAACCGGGGAGGGUCAUUGGAAACUGCGAAACUUGAGUGCAGAAGAGGAGAGUGGAAUUCCACGUGUAGCGGUGAAAUGCGUAGAGAUGUGGAGGAACACCAGUGGCGAAGGCGACUCUCUGGUCUGUAACUGACGCUGAGGAGCGAAAGCGUGGGGAGCGAACAGGAUUAGAUACCCGGGUAGUCCCUGUCUCUUAUAC